GUGGGUAUAGCUUAGUGGUAGAGCACAUGCUUAGCUUGCACAACGUCCUGGGUUCAAUUUCCAGUGACUCCA
rnacentral:tRNA from 1 species